UACGUAGGGUGCAAGCGUUAAUCGGAAUUACUGGGCGUAAAGCGUGCGCAGGCGGUUGUGCAAGACAGAUGUGAAAUCCCCGGGCUUAACCUGGGAACUGCGCUUGUAACUGGCAAGCUGGAGUGUGGCAGAGGGGGGUGGAAUUCCACGUGUAGCAGUGAAAUGCGUAGAGAUGUGGAGGAACACCGAUGGCGAAGGCAGCCCCCUGGGCUAACACUGACGCUCAUGCACGAAAGCGUGGGGAGCAAACAGG
rnacentral:rRNA from 1 species